GCUCAGGACGAACGCUGGCGGCGUGCUUAACACAUGCAAGUCGAACGAUGAUGCCCAGCUUGCUGGGUGGAUUAGUGGCGAACGGGUGAGUAACACGUGAGUAACCUGCCCCUGACUCUGGGAUAAGCGUUGGAAACGACGUCUAAUACNGGAUAUGACUGCCGGCCGCAUGGUCUGGUGGUGGAAAGAUUUUUUGGUUGGGGAUGGACUCGCGGCCUAUCAGCUUGUUGGUGAGGUAAUGGCUCACCAAGGCGACGACGGGUAGCCGGCCUGAGAGGGUGACCGGCCACACUGGGACUGAGACACGGCCCAGACUCCUACGGGAGGCAGCAGUGGGGAAUAUUGCACAAUGGGCGAAAGCCUGAUGCAGCAACGCCGCGUGAGGGAUGACGGCCUUCGGGUUGUAAACCUCUUUUAGUAGGGAAGAAGCGAAAGUGACGGUACCUGCAGAAAAAGCACCGGCUAACUACGUGCCAGCAGCCGCGGUAAUACGUAGGGUGCAAGCGUUGUCCGGAAUUAUUGGGCGUAAAGAGCUCGUAGGCGGUUUGUCGCGUCUGCUGUGAAAUCCCGAGGCUCAACCUCGGGCUUGCAGUGGGUACGGGCAGACUAGAGUGCGGUAGGGGAGAUUGGAAUUCCUGGUGUAGCGGUGGAAUGCGCAGAUAUCAGGAGGAACACCGAUGGCGAAGGCAGAUCUCUGGGCCGUAACUGACGCUGAGGAGCGAAAGCGUGGGGAGCGAACAGGAUUAGAUACCCUGGUAGUCCACGCCGUAAACGUUGGGCGCUAGAUGUAGGGACCUUUCCACGGUUUCUGUGUCGUAGCUAACGCAUAAGCG
rnacentral:rRNA from 1 species